UUUUUGCUCCACAUAUGCAUGCUUUCUACGAUUCGGAGAUCAGUGCAGCCCAAAGAUCACAUUGGAUUCUCCUCACUACACUCCAUCUUCUAACCUAGUCUGCAUCACGGCUAGGUGCAUCCGUUGCCAAGUUCAUCCAAUAUAUGCCAACCGCAUUGCAAGGACGACCAUAUGCACACACACACCACAGUCCACAGGAGACAGAUAGCUAGCUAGCUUACUCUUUAGUCAUACAUACACUUAUAAAUAGCCACCGGCUCUGUGCUCAUCAGCAAGGCAGAUUAAACAAGUGAAGUGGUCCACAUCAAAAAUGAAGUAAUCAGGUCUAGGGAGUCAAAAUUUGGUUGGUUGUCCACUGGAGUUCUCCUCAAUCCACUUCAGUAGAUAGCUAUGGCUAGGCCUCAUUGCAUUGCACUGUUACAUAACUGUGAUCAUGGGGCCAAAAGCUAGCUAUGUAUAGUGAAGUGCUUGGGGGAACUCCAGUUGGCACUCAGCAUUUUCAAGUUAGGUAUGUAAGUGCUUGUACUUUAUGAAUUUGUAAGUGACAGAGAAUGAUUAGGUUUGGAGUCCCUAGGAGUUCCUUUCAAGCACUUUACGACACACUGUAUUGAGAGUUAUCGUGAAGUGUUUGGGGGAACUCUUAGUG
rnacentral:precursor_RNA from 1 species